GGCUUCAGCUCAGUUGGUUAGAGUGUGGUGCUUAUAACACCAAGGUUGCAGGUUCGAUCCCCGUUAAGGGCCA